AUGAUAUUGUUCUCUUCUAUGCAGGAAGGCAGAAAUAGCAUUUCCAGCCUCUGUGGCCACUGGGGAAUUUUCUGUGCAGAACAUCCCUGUGUGAAAAAGCUGCUGAAAGCUGUUCCCUGGAACAGAGCCACUUCACUCUCAGCUUCUCCAGCUCCCAUUUCAUGCAGGUGUAAUUGCAUUGGUACUGAGGGCUGUGUUGAGCCAGGCCUGGGUGUUUGCCUGCUGGCUGAGCUGUUGGACCUGUGUGUGCCAUGGGCAUGGCUGAGACUGGCUCAGGGAGAUGGGCCCCAGACAGCUGCAGGAAAGAACAUGAAAUGGUUAUUCCUUUGCUUGUGUAUGAUCAAAGAGCCUUUUGCAGAGGUGUGAUUCCAGAUCAUGAAUUCAGAGUUUCAUCAAAGCUGCUGCUCUACUGGCCCACACACAGGUAAUUGCUUAAUGUACCUGCUUCUGUUCCACACACCUUAGAGAUAAUGCAAUAAUAAAAAUAACCAAAGCACAUAACCAAAGUCGUUAUUGCUCUCCCCUUGUUGUAGUACAGGUUUUGGGGAUAUAUGUGGCUAUCUAUAAGGGACCACCUCAGUGAGAUAACACCACCUGCUUCUGCAGGUGAGCUCUAGAGUUUGUGUGUGUGUGUGUUUGUGGUUAAUGCUGAUGGUUUUAUUGAGUCCCAGUGAUUUGCUAAUUAUUUUAGUUUUGUGUAAGUGUUCCUUAUGAGUAGAUAAAGGCUCUUACAGGCUACAUCUUGGAAAAAGAUCUAAAUUUUAUGCUGAAAUUCUAAAGGUCACUGGGAUCCUCAUAGAAAGAAAAAGGAAGAAAGAGCAAUCACCUUCAAAGUCACUGCUGGGGCAGUCUUGUAAGCUGGUCACCUGGGCUGCUGGAGGUGGUAUACAAUGGAAAGUCCUUUAGAGCACAAGCACUUUGCCCUGUCUGUGAAAUGAAUGAUCUUGUUUGAACAAGAGUUUCAUUCUUAUAUAUUGGUUGUUCCUAUGCAUUGAUUCUUCUAUUGAACUGCAG
rnacentral:lncRNA from 1 species